rnacentral:rRNA from 1 species
UGCCAGCAGCCGCGGUAAUACGGAGGGGGCAAGCGUUGUUCGGAAUUACUGGGCGUAAAGCGCGCGUAGGCGGGUCUUUAAGUCAGAGGUGAAAUCCUGGAGCUCAACUCCAGAACUGCCUUUGAUACUGGAGAUCUUGAGUCCGGAAGAGGUUAGUGGAAUUCCCAGUGUAGAGGUGAAAUUCGUAGAUAUUGGGAAGAACACCAGUGGCGAAGGCGGCUAACUGGUCCGGUACUGACGCUGAGGUGCGAAAGCGUGGGGAGCAAACAGGAUUAGAUA